GGUAAACAGCGACUGGCCUAACUUGUGACCAAUGUGUUGUCAGGCUUUAUAGUCCCUGAAAUCCCAUGCUUCUGGAGCUACAUGUGGAAUUGGUAGUCUUGGUACCAGAAACUUUAUGAAACUGCAAGUUUAGAUGGUUAUCCCUGGUGACAGGAGACUUCCAGAGAAAAGAGUUCACAGGCUUGUCCAUGAUGUCCACAAGAAAGGAGCUCAGGAAUCCUGAGGAACAGGAGGAAGAGGGCUUGUUGGGCCAGAGGAGAUGGAGGACACCAGAACAAAAGGGCCUUCUGAAUCUACUAAAGAAGACACAGUUGAGCUCACAGACUCCAAGACAGAAAGACUCAUGUGGGUCCUCAGUAGGUACUGUUCAUUUAUUAUGGCUUUUAGCUUGGUGUUUUCUUCAACUUUUAAUGUCUUUUUUCAGUUUUUACCUUUUUUAUUGUAUGGGUCAUGCCCAUUUGCUAGGAUGAUUUGUACAAAUUUUUAAGAAAUCUUAUGAUCUUAUUUCCCCACAUCUGCUUCACACAUACUGUUUAUCUGUCUUCUAAAAUGCUGUUUCUGUUCU